rnacentral:tmRNA from 20 species
GGGGCUGAUUCUGGAUUCGACGGGAUUUGCGAAACCCAAGGUGCAUGCCGAGGGGCGGUUGGCCUCGUAAAAAGCCGCAAAAAAUAGUCGCAAACGACGAAAACUACGCUUUAGCAGCUUAAUAACCUGCUUAGAGCCCUCUCUCCCUAGCCUCCGCUCUUAGGACGGGGAUCAAGAGAGGUCAAACCCAAAAGAGAUCGCGUGGAAGCCCUGCCUGGGGUUGAAGCGUUAAAACUUAAUCAGGCUAGUUUGUUAGUGGCGUGUCCGUCCGCAGCUGGCAAGCGAAUGUAAAGACUGACUAAGCAUGUAGUACCGAGGACGUAGGAAUUUCGGACGCGGGUUCAACUCCCGCCAGCUCCACC